rnacentral:lncRNA from 1 species
GCAAUUCCAAAGUUUAUUAAGAUACAAGGUACAACCAGAAUUCUAAGUCCAAGCUUCAAGAAUAUGGUGUUAGUGAGCAACUUCUUGUGGCAUUCAAAGAAGAUAGAAAAACAGAUUACCAAAUAGUACAUCCAAAAGUAAUAAGAUCCUCACAGGAUAAAUUUCACUCAACUCUCAAGAGUUUAAGUUAAUUGUUUACACUCAAAGCACAACAUGAAAGUUAGUACUACCAUAAGCUUGAAAAGACUCUAACACCCACAAUUGAAAUACAUGCACAUAAAGAUCAAAAGGACUUUUAUUUGGUUGUAAUGUGGCCAAGGUAAGGGUGAGAUAAAUUCUAAGGGGUACUAGGCUAAAAUUCAAAGAGACAAAAGAGACUUGAAAGAAACUGCGGGAGUUGAGUUUACAAAAUAUUUCAUUCACUUCAACAACUCUAUAUUAACUGUUUUUGUUUAUAUUUUUUUCUCCUUUCUCUUUUUUUCUUUUUCAUAAGGAGUAUGUAUUGACAUGUAUACAUCCUUCUAUUUUUUUCAUUCAUUUUUUUUCGUUUCUAUUUUCUUUUUCUAUUUUUCUUUUCUUUUUCUACCAACUUCUGAAAUUUAUUGACAUGUAUACAUCCUUCUAUUUUUUUCAUUCAUUUUUUUUCGUUUCUAUUUUCUUUUUCUAUUUUUCUUUUCUUUUUCUACCAACUUCUGAAAUAUUGCA